rfam:Ornithorhynchus anatinus chromosome 2, whole genome shotgun sequence.
AUGUUCUCAGGACCGCACCUGGAGAGUUUCCAGUCCUCUAUCAGUCUCGACUAUGGGAAGGAGAGCCAAGCAGAGGCAUAUCCAUUCCAUUCCUAGCUUGGACAGUGGCUAGCGAGAGGAAGUCCAUCUGCUACAAGU